rnacentral:lncRNA from 10 species
GGAACAUUCAGACUGGUAAGAGAAAAGAAUUAAACAUCAAAUCUUCCCUCAGGGACUCCAGAUAAGAGCCCAGGCCAAAGGACACCUUGAUUUUGACCUUGUCAGACCUGGAGUUGAAAAACCAGCUGCACCCUUCUAGAAUUCUUACUUACAAAACUGGAGAUGUUACAAGACAAGAUGAUUUCACUGGAAGCUGAGUUUUGCCAGCUUUGGGGAAAUGCUGAUGCAGAACAUCAUUUAUUUAAGGCUGAUACUCAUGGAUAGAAGAGUCAAAGUGCGAAUAUAUGCACCCUUCUAUACGGAUUCUGCAGAAAGAUAUGCUUGGGUCAUGACUCAGGUGAAUUUCCUAUGAAACUUUGUCUUUGGUAAAGCAUCCCAUUCUUGGCUGUUCCAUAUAUAUAUAUAUGGUAAGUUUGGGAGUGGCCUUGCUAGUAAAGAAUAAAUUAUUUACUUGGUUCUAGCUAUUUACAAAGUUGCUGGUGACUAAUUGCUGGAAAGAAGCUGGGACGUUCUGUGGCCCCUCCAUUUUAUAUCCCCUCCCUUUGGUUCUCUAGGAAAUUGAGUUCAGGAAAGCUACCAGGAAUAAAACUCUUACUUUUUA